AUCCACUUCUUUUUAAACUUUUUUCAAGGAGGCACCAUUCUAUCCAUCCGUGCCAAAAGAAUAGGAAAACUAUACCUCAAUUUUAAACCAUAUAUAAACUUUCAUAUAAACUAAGUUAAGAAAGAGGAGGCACCAUCCAAUCCAUCCGUGGCAAAAGAAUAUGUUAGGAAAACUAUAUCUCAAUUUUAAACCAUAUAUAAACUUUCAUAUAAACUAAGUUAAGAAAGAGCAUUUCGAUUUAAGAUUCUUUCUCUAUAAAAUUUCUUUACACUGGAUAAAAAUUUCCACAUAUUAAAAUGGAGUGAAGUUAAGGAUACGUGUUGUUUCAUUAUACACUACUAUAGAUAAUGAUUCCUUCGACUUCGUAAAUUUUUAUAAUACACAUUUCAUUUAUAAAAAUCUUACUAUAUAUCCUUAUCUUAUGCAAGUUGCUUUGGUUAACAGUACUAUAUUAAUGUAUAAUAUUAAUUAUUUAAUAAAAGACCAGACUUUUUUGAAGAGAGUUUCUCUUUUGGUUAUCAACGGAUAUAAUGAAUGAUUGACUGGUGGAAGGAAGCACAUACAAUAUUUAAAAGCAAUUACAAUGAAAGCAUAUACCUAUAUACAUGUAUAUAUACAUGUGUGAAAAUUUAUAGUACAAAUCUAUAAUGAAAAAAUAACCCCAAAAGAAUUACUUUAAUUAAAACUCUCAAGUGGAUCAAAGUAAAUCUGUUGAAAUCAAUUAAGCAUAUCACUUAAGAUAUGUAUACCUGAUGAUUUUACAGGAUUUAUUUAAGCGAUCUUUUAUGGGAUCAUUACUUAAUUUGUGUUAAUUAACUAAUUAAUAUUAGUUUCAUUUGAUCAUGAUAAAAACUUUCUGAAAAAUAAAUUU